ensembl:ncRNA C54G7.9 ncRNA
UUAUAGUGAUUAAUAUUACGCGCCGUGCGGUCAUCAAAGCAGCUUAAGGCAGGCGCGUGAAUUGACUCCUGUUCGCUGGUAUUGAAAUUCGAGACUCGAGCAUUUUGCCUAG